AUACGUAGGGGACGAGCGUUGUCCGGAAUGAUUGGGCGUAAAGGGCGCGUAGGCGGCCCGGUAAGUCUGGAGUGAAAGUCCUGUUUUUAAGAUGGGAAUUGCUUUGGAUACUGUCGGGCUUGAGUGCAGGAGAGGUAAGUGGAAUUCCCAGUGUAGCGGUGAAAUGCGUAGAGAUUGGGAGGAACACCAGUGGCGAAGGCGACUUACUGGACUGUAACUGACGCUGAGGCGCGAAAGUGUGGGGAGCAAACAGGAUUAGAUACCCUGGUAGUCCACACUGUAAACGAUGAAUGCUAGGUGUAGGGGGUAUCGACCCCUUCUGUGCCGCAGUCAACACAAUAAGCAUUCCGCCUGGGGAGUACGGCCGCAAGGUUGAAACUCAAAGGAAUUGACGGGG
rnacentral:rRNA from 1 species